AUCAAAAAGUACAACUGACUUCCAAUCAGUUAGCUUCGGUAGAAAUCCGAAAAAGAAU
rnacentral:tRNA from 1 species